rnacentral:rRNA from 1 species
UACGGAGGGGGCUAGCGUUGUUCGGAAUUACUGGGCGUAAAGCGCGCGUAGGCGGACCUGCAAGUCGGGGGUGAAAACCCAGGGCUCAACCCUGGGCCUGCAUUCGAUACGGGCAGACUAGAGUUCGGUAGGGGAGACUGGAAUUCCUGGUGUAGCGGUGAAAUGCGCAGAUAUCAGGAGGAACACCGGUGGCGAAGGCGGGUCUCUGGGCCGAAACUGACGCUGAGGAGCGAAAGCGUGGGGAGCAAACAGG